UGCGUAGGUGGUGAGGUAAGUCGGAUGUGAAAUCUCGGAGCUCAACUCCGAAACUGCAUUGGAAACUACCUCGCUCGAGGAAUGGAGGGGGGACUGGAAUUCUCGGUGUAGCAGUGAAAUGCGUAGAUAUCGAGAGGAACACCAGUGGCGAAGGCGAGUCCCUGGACAUCUCCUGACACUGAGGCACGAAAGCUAGGGGAGUAAACA
rnacentral:rRNA from 1 species